GCGGGAAUAGCUCAGUUGGUAGAGCACGACCUAGCCAAGGUCGGGGUCGCGAGUUCGAGUCUCGUUUCCCGCUCCA
rnacentral:tRNA from 1 species